rnacentral:rRNA from 1 species
CGUAGGGUGCUAAGCGUUAAUCGGAAGUUACUGGGCGUAAAGCGUGCGCUAGGCGGUUAUGCAAGACAGAUGUGAAAUCCCCGGGCUCAACCUGGGAACUGCAUUUGUGACUGCAUAGCUGGAGUGCGGCAGAGGGGGGAUGGAAUUCCGCGUGUAGCAGUGAAAUGCGUAGAUAUGCGGAGGAACACCGAUGGCGAAGGCAAUCCCCUGAACCUGCACUGACGCUCAUGCACGAAAGCGUGGGGAGCAAACAGGAUUAGAUACCCUGGUAGUCCACGCCCUAAACGAUGUCAACUGGUUGUUGGGAAGGUUCCUUCUCAGUAACGUAGCUAACGCGUGAAGUUGACCGCCUGGGGAGUACGGCCGCAAGGUUG